GCCUGGUGUGGUGGUACAUGCCUGUAAUCCCAGCAGCUUGGGAGGCUGAGGCAGGAGAAUCAUGAGUUCAAAGCCAGCCUCACCAAAAGUGAGGCUCUAAGUAACUUAGUGAGAGUCUGUCUCUA
rnacentral:sRNA from 1 species